UACGAAGGUGGCAAGCGUUGUUCGGAUUUACUGGGCUUAAAGGGUGCGUAGGUGGGUAGGAAAGUCAGUGGUGAAAUCUUCGGGCUUAACCCGGAAACUGCCAUUGAUACUAUUUAUCUUGAAUACUUUGGAGGUAAGCGGAAUAUGUCAUGUAGCGGUGAAAUGCUUAGAUAUCACAUAGAACACCAGUUGCGAAGGCAGCUUACUACACAGUUAUUGACACUGAGGCACGAAAGCGUGGGGAUCAAACAGG
rnacentral:rRNA from 1 species